rnacentral:rRNA from 1 species
GGUGAAAAGCACCCCGGAAGGGGAGUGAAAUAGAACCUGAAACCGUGUGCUUACAAGUAGUCAGAGCCCGUUAAUGGGUGAUGGCGUGCCUUUUGUAGAAUGAACCGGCGAGUUACGAUUUGAUGCAAGGUUAAGCAGUAAAUGUGGAGCCGUAGCGAAAGCGAGUCUGAAUAGGGCGUUUAGUAUUUGGUCGUAGACCCGAAACCAGGUGAUCUACCCUUGGUCAGGUUGAAGUUCAGGUAACACUGAAUGGAGGACCGAACCGACUUACGUUGAAAAGUGAGCGGAUGAACUGAGGGUAGCGGAGAAAUUCCAAUCGAACCUGGAGAUAGCUGGUUCUCUCCGAAAUAGCUUUAGGGCUAGCCUCAAGUGAUGAUUAUUGGAGGUAGAGCACUGUUUGGACGAGGGGCCCCUCUCGGGUUACCGAAUUCAGACAAACUCCGAAUGCCAAUUAAUUUAACUUGGGAGUCAGAACAUGGGUGAUAAGGUCCGUGUUCGAAAGGGAAACAGCCCAGACCACCAGCUAAGGUCCCAAAAUAUAUGUUAAGUGGAAAAGGAUGUGGCGUUGCCCAGACAACUAGGAUGUUGGCUUAGAAGCAGCCAUCAUUUAAAGAGUGCGUAAUAGCUCACUAGUCGAGUGACACUGCGCCGAAAAUGUACCGGGGCUAAACAUAUUACCGAAGCUGUGGAUUGUCCUUUGGACAAUGGUAGGAGAGCGUUCUAAGGGCGUUGAAGCAUGAUCGUAAGGACAUGUGGAGCGCUUAGAAGUGAGAAUGCCGGUGUGAGUAGCGAAAGACGGGUGAGAAUCCCGUCCACCGAUUGACUAAGGUUUCCAGAGGAAGGCUCGUCCGCUCUGGGUUAGUCGGGUCCUAAGCUGAGGCCGACAGGCGUAGGCGAUGGAUAACAGGUUGAUAUUCCUGUACCACCUAUAAUCGUUUUAAUCGAUGGGGGGACGCAGUAGGAUAGGCGAAGCGUGCGAUUGGAUUGCACGUCUAAGCAGUAAGGCUGAGUAUUAGGCAAAUCCGGUACUCAUUAAGGCUGAGCUGUGAUGGGGAGAAGACAUUGUGUCUUCGAGUCGUUGAUUUCACACUGCCGAGAAAAGCCUCUAGAUAGAAAAUAGGUGCCCGUACCGCAAACCGACACAGGUAGUCAAGAUGAGAAUUCUAAGGUGAGCGAGCGAACUCUCGUUAAGGAACUCGGCAAAAUGACCCCGUAACUUCGGGAGAAGGGGUGCUCUUUAGGGUUAACGCCCAGAAGAGCCGCAGUGAAUAGGCCCAAGCGACUGUUUAUCAAAAACACAGGUCUCUGCUAAACCGUAAGGUGAUGUAUAGGGGCUGACGCCUGCCCGGUGCUGGAAGGUUAAGAGGAGUGGUUAGCUUCUGCGAAGCUACGAAUCGAAGCCCCAGUAAACGGCGGCCGUAACUAUAACGGUCCUAAGGUAGCGAAAUUCCUUGUCGGGUAAGUUCCGACCCGCACGAAAGGCGUAACGAUUUGGGCACUGUCUCAACGAGAGACUCGGUGAAAUCAUAGUACCUGUGAAGAUGCAGGUUACCCGCGACAGGACGGAAAGACCCCGUGGAGCUUUACUGUAGCCUGAUAUUGAAAUUCGGCACAGCUUGUACAGGAUAGGUA